rnacentral:rRNA from 1 species
UACGUAGGCAGCGAGCGUUGUUCGGAGUUACUGGGCGUAAAGGGUGUGUAGGCGGUUCUUUAAGUUUGGUGUGAAAUCUCCCGGCUCAACCGGGAGGGUGCGCCGAAUACUGAGGGACUAGAGUGCGGGAGAGGAAAGUGGAAUUCCUGGUGUAGCGGUGAAAUGCGUAGAUAUCAGGAGGAACACCGGUGGUGUAGACGGCUUUCUGGACCGUAACUGACGCUGAGGAGCGAAAGCCAGGGGAGCAAACGGG